GACGUAGGGCGCAAGCGUUGUCCGGAUUUAUUGGGCGUAAAGAGCUCGUAGGCGGCUUGUCACGUCGGAUGUGAAAGCCCGGGGCUUAACUCCGGGUCUGCAUUCGAUACGGGCUAGCUAGAGUGUGGUAGGGGAGAUCGGAAUUCCUGGUGUAGCGGUGAAAUGCGCAGAUAUCAGGAGGAACACCGGUGGCGAAGGCGGCUCGCUGGGCAGUGGCUGACGCUGAGGCGCGACAGCGUGGGGAGCAAACAGG
rnacentral:rRNA from 1 species